GACGAACGCUGGCGGCGUGCUUAACACAUGCAAGUCGAACGGAAAGGCCCUGCUUUUGUGGGGGGCUCGAGUGGCGAACGGGUGAGUAACACGUGAGUACCCUGCCCUUGAACUUGGGAUAACUUCAGGACAUUGGGGUUAAUACCGGCUAGGAGCUCCUGCGGCAUGGUGGGGGUUGGAAGGUUGCGGCGGUUGGGGAUGGACUCCCGGCUUAUCAGCUUGUUGGUGGGGUAGUGGCUUACCACGGCUUUGACGGGUAGCCGGCCUGAGGGGGUGACCGGCCACAUUGGGACUGAGAUACGGCCCAGACUCCUACGGGAGGCAGCAGUGGGGAAUAGUGCACAAUGGGCGGAGGCCUGAUGCAGCAACGCCGCGUGCGGGAUGACGGCCUUCGGGUUGUAAACCGCUUUCGCCGGUGACGAAGCGUGAGUGACGGUAAUGGGUAAAGAAGCACCGGCUAACUACGUG
rnacentral:rRNA from 1 species